GAUGCUGACGAGUGGCGAACGGGUGAGUAAUAUAUCGGAACGUGCCCAGUCGUGGGGGAUAACGCAGCGAAAGCUGUGCUAAUACCGCAUACGACCUACGGGUGAAAGCAGGGGAUCUUCGGACCUUGCGUUAUUAGAGCGGCCGAUGUUAGAUUAGGUAGUUGGUGAGGUAAAGGCUCACCAAGCCUACGAUCUAUAGCUGGUCUGAGAGGACGACCAGCCACACUGGAACUGAGACACGGUCCAGACUCC
rnacentral:rRNA from 1 species